rnacentral:tRNA from 2 species
GGAGAGGUGGCAGAGUGGUCGAAUGCGCUCACUCGAAAUGAGGUUCGGGGUAACAGCCGACGUGGGUUCGAAUCCCACCCUCUCCG